rnacentral:misc_RNA from 1 species
GAUGAAGAACGUAGCGAAAUGCGAUAAGUAAUGUGAAUUGCAGAAUUCAGUGAAUCAUCGAAUCUUUGAACGCACAUUGCGCCCGCCAGUAUUCUGGCGGGUAUGCCUGUUCGAGCGUCAUUUCAACCCUCAAGCCCCCGGGCUUGGUGUUGGGGAUCGGCGUGCCCUCGCGGCGCGCCGUCCCCUAAAUCUAGUGGCGGUCUCGCUGUAGCUUCCUCUGCGUAGUAGCAACACUCGCACUGGAUCGCAGCGCGGCCACGCCGUUAAACCCCCCACUUCUGAAAGUUUGACCUCGGAUCAGGUAGGAAUACCCGCUGAACUUAAGCAUAUCAAUAAGCGGAGGA